UACAGAGGGUGCAAGCGUUGUUCGGAAUUACUGGGCGUAAAGCGUGCGCAGGCGGUCUGUUAAGACCGAUGUGAAAUCCCCCGGGCUUAACCUGGGAACUGCAUUGGUGACUGGCAGGCUUUGAGUGUGGCAGAGGGAGGUAGAAUUCCACGUGUAGCAGUGAAAUGCGUAGAGAUGUGGAGGAAUACCGAUGGCGAAGGCAGCCUCCUGGGCCAACACUGACGCUCAUGCACGAAAGCGUGGGGAGCAAACAGG
rnacentral:rRNA from 1 species